AAUGAACGUUGGCGGCGUGGAUUAGGCAUGCAAGUCGAGCGGGUGUAGCAAUACACCAGCGGCGAAAGGGAGAGUAAUACGUGGAUACCUACCCUCGGGCCUGGGAUAGCUUCGGGAAACUGAAGGUAAUACCAGAUAACGUCCCCGGACCAAAGGUGUGAUUCCGUCCGAGGAGGGGUCCGCGGCCUAUUAGCUAGUUGGUGAGGUAACGGCCCACCAAGGCGAAGAUGGGUACGAGGCGUGAGAGCGUGUCCUCGCUCACUGGGACUGAGACACUGCCCAGACACCUACGGGUGGCUGCAGUCGAGAAUCUUCGGCAAUGGGCGCAAGCCUGACCGAGCGACGCCGCGUGCGGGAUGAAGGCCUUCGGGUUGUAAACCGCUGUCAGUAGGGAGGAAUGGUUUGGGGGUUCUCCCCCAGAUUUGACCUAUCUGCAGAGGAAGGACGGGCUAAGUUCGUGCCAGCAGCCGCCGUAA
rnacentral:rRNA from 1 species